UGCUAACUGGUCUCUCAUAAAGUCUGGAGAUAGGAUGAAGACCAGAGUUUGACAUGAUAUGUCCUGAAAGCUCUAGAUGCAAAGGAAACACAGCAGCAUUAACAUCUUUACUGGGGUCCUUCUAUAGCUGAUGAUGAUCUAUGGCAACUGGGAAUGCACAUAGCUCACAGCAGGUGUCUCAACAAUGUCUGGCAUUUCCAAGGUGCUUCUACAGGGAAUUUCAAAAGACAAAAUGUUGCAGCUACAGCAAGAAGUAUAAGGAAGCAGGGGAAGGCCUGGUGGGCCUGGUAGGGCUCUGUGCACCUGAGGCGUAAUGUCUAAACAU
rnacentral:lncRNA from 1 species